rnacentral:lncRNA from 1 species
UAUACAAGUUUUGCAGUCAGUGCUGGCUAGCUACGCAAGUUCAAUGGCCUUAUAUAAAAAGAGAAAAGAAAAAAACUUCAUAAUUUUGCAACAUUUGCGAAGACAGCAGCUAUUGCUUUACGGGUUACUGCAGAGGAACGCUACUCAGAGAUCCCUCUGGAAAUUGAAUCGGCAGUCUUCUUUCUGGGAAGUUAAUUGCAAUUGCAACGAUGACCAUUUCUUUAAGAUGCACUUCCGCAUGAACCGCACUAGUUUCGAAACACUCUGUGUGGUUUCCUCAAAAACCUGCACAAAGCCGACACAAACUGGCGCAACGCGAUUCCAUUGCAAAAACGCGUUGCGAUAGCUCUGAUUACGCUGGGAUCGUCUGGGGAGUACAGAGUGGUUUCCGAACUAUUUGGUGUUGGAAUAUCGACCGUGUGCACAAUCUUCUGGGAGUUUUGCGAGGAAGUUUGGCAAGCUUUGUCAGCGCAAUACAUAAAAAAAUUACCACCGACUCCACAAACUUUAAAAGACUGUGUUGAUGGUUUUGACCGUCUCGGCUUUCCCCAAUGCCUUGGAGCAAUUGAUGGGUGCCACAUCGAAGUUAGGCCGAAUCCAGCCGAUGCAACCGACUACCACAACUAUAAAGGAUGGUAUUCUAUUGUUCUACUAGCUGUAGUGGAUUAUAGAUAUCGGUUUUUAUAUGUGAACAUUGGUGCUCCUGGACGAUGCAAUGAUCCGCAGAUAUAUAAUGCAUCGUUAUUGAAGCGAG